rnacentral:lncRNA from 1 species
UAAUUGUGUCAUCAUUUGUGCAAAUCAAUGUAGUGGGUUUUAUUGCUAUAUUUUUGGUGUGUUCAUCUUGAUUUACUAUCAAAAUCAGAUUUUUGGCUAGAUUUGAUCCUACAAUUUGGUAUCAGAGCUUGGUACUCGAAUUUGAGAUUCAACAAUCUUCAAAUUCAUCCUAAAAAAAAUCUGAUUUUGAUUUGAAAAGUUUUAAAACUUUUAGGGUUUUUGACUUUAUUCACUUUUUCUUCAAAAAUCUUGUUUUUAAAAGGUUUAAAUUAUGUGUUUGCUGAUUAGGUUUCAGCUCAAAUCAGAAGGUUUUAGAUGAGUUUUUGAAGUUUCUGGGCGAUUUUUUAUGAAUACAACGACUUUAUUUUGAAUACAGCGAAUUUAUUGAAAGUUCCGGCGAAUUUGGGUUUUCCGGCAACUUUCCGACGGAAUUAACUUUUCCGGCGAAAUUAAAUCUUGAACGCGAGUUCAAGUUCUCCGGCGUAUUUGGUAAAUACGCCGGUAAGUCACAUAUUUCUAGGGUCGUUAUUUUGAUUUUUUUUGUUUUUUUUUGCCAGCAUAGAUAGACAGAAAGGGGGUAGAAAUAGAAUAGGUUUAAUCUUUUUCACUUUCAUCCAGAAAGCACUAUAGCCUCAAUCAUUUUAUUAACAUCAGUUGUUCAUAAAAACAAACUAGAUUUCUUGCAAGAAAACAAGACUUCUUG